UACGUAGGGGGCAAGCGUUGUCCGGAAUCAUUGGGCGUAAAGAGCGUGUAGGCGGUCCAGUAAGUCCGCUGUGAAAGUCAAGGGCUCAACCCUUGAAAGCCGGUGGAUACUGCUGGACUAGAGUCCGGAAGAGGCGAGUGGAAUUCCUGGUGUAGCGGUGAAAUGCGCAGAUAUCAGGAGGAACACCGAUGGCGAAGGCAGCUCGCUGGGACGGUACUGACACUGAGACGCGAAAGCGUGGGGAGCAAACAGG
rnacentral:rRNA from 1 species